rnacentral:rRNA from 1 species
GACGAACGCUGGCGGCGUGCUUAACACAUGCAAGUCGAACGGAAAGGCCCUGCUUUUGUGGGGUGCUCGAGUGGCGAACGGGUGAGUAACACGUGAGUAACCUGCCCUUGACUUUGGGAUAACUUCAGGAAACUGGGGCUAAUACCGGAUAGGAGCUCCUGCUGCAUGGUGGGGGUUGGAAAGUUUCGGCGUUUGGGGAUGGACUCGCGGCUUAUCAGCUUGUUGGUGGGGUAGUGGCUUACCAAGGCUUUGACGGGUAGCCGGCCUGAGAGGGUGACCGGCCACAUUGGGACUGAGAUACGGCCCAGACUCCUACGGGAGGCAGCAGUGGGGAAUAUUGCACAAUGGGCGGAAGCCUGAUGCAGCAACGCCGCGUGCGGGAUGACGGCUUUCGGGUUGUAAACCGCUUUCGCCUGUGACGAAGCGUGAGUGACGGUAAUGGGUAAAGAAGCACCGGCUAACUACGUG